rnacentral:tRNA from 1 species
UAAAAGAUAGCUAUGGGAAAAGUGUUGCUUUUACAAUGCAACGAUGUUUGUUAAACUCAAACUCUUUUAA